AUGGGAGAUUUCGGCAUCAAACAGUGGAGACUUGGGACCAGAAACGGCAUCGCCAAUAUGACCAACAGAAGCACCACCAUAACUGCUAUCGAGAACCGACCCUGCGCUGACGACGCAUACCGGGUGGUGCCACCAUUGGUGUUGAUACUUGCGACAAAUUCCAGCGCCGUCCCAGGUCUUUGGCGGAUCCAGAACAUGUCAUGCAAAGUGUUCGUUGGGAUAUUUGUGUUUAUCUCGAUCCGGGCGAUCGUGACCCUGCUGGAGUCCGGGGGGGACCUCCAGCCCCCCGGGGUGUCGAUGGCUUUGGUGUGCCGCGCCUCCGGGUUUAAUUUUGGGAGUUUUGGAAUGGGCUGGUACCGCCAGAGUCCCGGCAAGGGACUGGAAUUUGUAGCGAGUAUCCACAGCAACGGUGGCGCCACGCGGUACGCGCCGUCUGUGCAGGGCCGGUUCUCGAUCUCCAGGGACAACGGGCAGAGCUCGGUGACGCUGACCAUGAACAGCCUCAAGGACGAGGAUUCUGGUGUUUAUUUCUGCGGCAAAACUUACGAUGGCGCUGAACCUUUUACUGCUGAUAUCGUGAACCGGCCCUUGACUGACGGCGCGUACUCGGUGUAG